UUUUCUCCAUUACAAUGAAUCUAUGCAUGUAUUGCAUAAUCUGAGUAAACUUUUUUUUUUCUCUUGGGAAAUGUAUUGUGCAUACCUCGGCGUCCCGGUGGGGGGGAAUCCGAGAUUAUACGGGACUACUAAAACCCCACACGCGCCUAAGAUACUUGGGAAGUGCCUGGAUCUUGCGAGUAUUCAACAGGACACAUCCCAGCAACCUAAACCUUAACUUGCUGACCAUUACAACGUACGUAUAUAUGUUUCUAUGGAAGCGCACAGGAAUGUGAACUUAAGGUGCAAGCCCGAUUCAGAAUGUUGAAAUGAGGCGUUUUUUUAUAUUAAGAGGAUCUUUAUGAAACUUGCAGGGCCUUAAACUGGAUAAUUGGUGAUAACAAAUAAUAUUUUUCAAUACAAAAUUGUCCGUGGAAAGCCGUGUAUAUGCAUAACAUAAGCCAUGUCAUCAACCGGGUUGCACCCUUAAAGUAGUUUAACAAUAAGUUAAACUUACAAGGAAAAUACAAUUUGCGAAAUAAAGAAGUACAAUCUUACCGGCAUACUCAACGAAGCAAAUGGUGAGCGGUGACUUGCGAAUUUUCUCUUCGAAGAGAUCCUUCUUGUUCAAGAAUAGGAUAAUUGAGGACUUGAUCAUAUUCGGACAUCGCAACGCAAAAUAUGAUCGCAGUGACGUCUUCGAAGCAGUGUAUCCAUUUCUUACGUUCACUUCUUUGGCCGCCCACGUCGAAUAAUCUGUUACAUAAACAAGCAAUUAAUUAGUAAUCAAAUACCGAAGUCUGUUGGUGUAGCUUAUGUAUAAAUUAAAAGUAUAACUAGAGUUAUAAAUGAUUCCAUACGAUGGCACGAAAUUAAUUUCUAUUCCUAAAAUUUGGAUACUUUGGAAAAAGUAAUCGAGACAUACGUAUUGUAUUUAAACAUUGAGUCUAAUUAGCAAAAGUAUACAGUUUAUUUAGUUAAUUCAUAAUGUUUCUUCUAAAAUGAAUUCCAAACAGUACAGUACAGUACAGUACAGUGUUUAAUUUUGAGGCAACUUUAAUAUGUAACCCAUUGAAAAUAUUCAAAUAAAACAUUGACGUCUUGAGAUCAAAUUUUACCAUCAUAUUCCACGACGUGCUAAAAUAGAAGGCACACACUUAUCUUAAAAAGUAAUCACAAA